UCCGAGUUCGUAUAUCGGCUAGUAUGUUCGCCUCUCACUUAAGAAGCUUCGAGUGCGCGAAAGAGACGGGUUCGACUCCCGUACUCGGAA